ensembl:miRNA mir-257 ncRNA
AUAAUAUUUCCCGCUGAGUAUCAGGAGUACCCAGUGAUCGCCUUCACAUAUUGGGAAGAAGUAUGUGAUUGCGUCCUGCAGUUCUUCCAUGAUGUACUCAGG